ACUCCGCUUAGUCUGGGCCCCGGGUGGAGUGGCAGACCCGCGCUGUCGAGGGGGUGGUGGGGCCAGUCCCGAGGCGGAGUGGCCUCCGGCGGUGUCAGGGACGCUGGGCGCGUGCGAGUGUCCAGGGACCCCUCCAGACUACAGUCCCCAGCCGCGACUACAAUCCAGACGCUGCUGCGCGCAGCCCUAGCGCCGGCCACUCCGCUCCCCGCCCGCACCGGGUCAGAAAGGGACCAUGGCGACUCCCAGGUCACCUCAGGGCUGCCGGGUGACCUCCCAGGACAACGCUCUCCCAUAAGCAGCUUCUGGCACGGAGGCUUCCUAGGCCCGGUGCCCCAAGGGGCCCUGCUUUCUUUCCUCACGUCACCCCCGAGAACAAAAGGACCAGAAACUACUCUCCUGGGACCAUUCCUAAGCAAGAGAUACCAACACUGUGACAUAUGCCGGUGCCACCGCCGCCGCCGCCACCACCACCACCUCCUCUGCCUCCACCUCCUCCGCCUCUGGGGGCUCCUCCCCCUCCACCCCCACCAGGGCCCCCGGUAAGGCCUGUUUGUGUUUCUCUCUGGUUGACUGUGGAGCACUGGCCUUGGCAUGAUCUUGACCAGGAGCUUGGUGGUGGGAUGCAGGUGACGCAGGUUCCCAAGUGAUGCAGGUUCCCAGGUGAUGCAGG